AAACUCCAAAAAGUCGCUCAGUCCAUCAUAGCGCGUAGACUUUUGGAGAGAAUCAUUCCACCUCUUCUUGAGCAUAUGCUGGACCCGGCUUCAGAGCCUUUUCCAGACGAAUUUGAUAUAUAUCACUCUUUCGAUCAUAUUUUGUUCCGAUUCACCAUUACUCGCCGGUGUUCAAGUCCUCUCAGUGGUGAUCAUGCAUGCAAGAAGCAGAUCUGGGCAGAAAAAUUGCUAGUCGAGGCGGUUACGUGCAAGGAGUAGAAAGAGUGUACAAUGGAAUACAUAGAAAGACAAGUAACAUUGCCU
rnacentral:sRNA from 1 species